GUGUUGCUUCCACAGCACAUCUCUAUAACAGCAUUAUAAUAACAGAGAAGACUAACAUGGUCCCUGUGCAAGGACAACACACAGACUCAGACAUUCGGUAGUUUUAU
rnacentral:snRNA from 1 species